rnacentral:lncRNA from 1 species
AGUACAGACUACAGAUACAAUAUAUAUUGACUUUGUGGUUUGUCCGAAUGGAUCAUGCACCUAUCUCUCUCUCCCCGUGUCUGUAAAUUGUAUUUACUUUCAAUGAAAACCAAUUCUCAAUCUGAAAAUAAGAUCAAAAAUCAAUAGGCACUCAUAUAGUGCCCACAGAUGUCAAUGAGGGAAAUAUUUGAGGAUGGGAUAAUUAAGAAUGGAGAAGAAACAACUUGAUAUUUUAUUUUUGUAAAUGAAACCAUUUGGACUGCAUGUAUCCAAGUAUGAUUGGUAGAAAAUGGUCACAUCAUGCUCAAAUAGAAAGUGAAGAUCUUUAAAUGAGAGUCAGCAAGGCGGUCAGAGCAAGAAACUGGAUGGAUGCACGAGGCCUUUGGAGCCGCUGAAAUGUCGCCUGGUUUUUUACCUCAUAUUAAUGGGAUAUUUUAAUGAAGGAAUAUGGCUCCUUAUUCGACAGCUCAAUAUUACAAAGUUUCUUUUAAAAAAAACAAUAAUUUUAUUAAAAGAAUUCAUGAACUGGCAAAGAAUCACCCCAUCCAGGAAGUGUGAAUGCCUCUUCUAUUGUCUAAAGCUACUUUAUGUUUUAUUGAUUAUUAAUCAUUUGUUUUGUUAUUUUGUUAUAUUUAGAAUUUUUUUAUAAAAAUGGUUGAAACAUUCGGGGGAAUAAUAAGAACAAUACAAAUAAAUAAAA